rnacentral:rRNA from 1 species
GAUGAACGCUGGCGGCGUGCCUAAUACAUGCAAGUCGAACGAAAAGGCGCUGAUCUUGCGGGGUGCUCGAGUGCCGAACGGGUGAGUAUCACGUGAGUAACCUGUACUUGACUUUGGGAUAACUUUUGGAAACUCGGGCUAAUAUCGGAUAGGAGCUCUUGAUGCAUGGUGGGGGUUGGAAAGUUUCGGCGGUUGUGGCUGGACUCGCGGGUUAUGCGCCUGAUGGUGGAGUAGUGGCGUACCAAGCUUUCGACGGCUACGCGGCCUGAGAGGGGGGCCGGCCACAAUAGUACUGAGAGAGGGACCAGACUCGUACGGGCGGCAGCAGUGGAGAGUAUUACACAGUAGGCGGAAGCCUGAUGCAGCAACGCCGGGUGCGGGAUAACGGGCUACGGGUGAUAAACCGCUUUCUACGUAAACGAAGCGGGAGUGACGGUAAUGGAUAAGAAAGCACCGGCUAACUACGUG